CACCGGAAGAGCAGGGCAUUGCUCACUUGGAAACGUACACAAACCUUGGCUUGUACGUGGGCGGCUGAGUGAGUGACCAUGGAAAGGGCUUGGGUCAGAAAUAACUCAAUUACUAUAGGGGUGAUGGUCACCCUGUGUGCAAUAUGGGGUGAUGGUCACCCUGUGUGCAAUAUGGGGUGAUGGUCACCCUGUGUGCAAUAUGGGGUGAUGGUCACCCUGUGUGCAAUAUGGGGGUGAUGGUCACCCUGUGUGCAAUAUGGGGGUGAUGGUCACCCUGUGUGCAAUAUGGGGUGAUGGUCACCCUGUGUGCAAUAUGGGGGUGAUGGUCACCCUGUGAUCUAUACUGAGCUUGGUACACUCUUUAUAUGGAUAUAGGGGACAAGUCACCAAACAUUAAAGGCACACUAUAGGCGUCCGGGUCACAUCAGCUUAUUGAAGUUGUCUGGGGGCCGUGUCCCUGUCCCACUUAGUCCUGCAAUGUACGACGAUGCAGUUUUUUAGAAACUGCAAUAAUAACUUUGCAGCACUAUCAGCCACCAGAGGCGCUUCCAGGAUUCUAAUGGAUUUUAAAGGACCACUAUAGUGCCAGGAAAACAAACUUGUUUCCCCCCCCACCCUCUGGGUCCCACUCCCGCCGGGCUGAAGGGGGAGGAAGGGGUUAAACACUUACCUUUCUCCAGCGCCGGGCUCCCUCAGCCCUGGGGACUCUCCUCCCUCUUCCAACGUCAUCCGCUGAAUGCGCAUGGGCGGCAAGAGCCGUGCGCGCAUUCAGUCAGUCCAUAGGAAAGCAUUUCUCAAUGCUUUCCUAUGGAUGACAGCAUCUUCUCACUGUGAAAACCACAGCGAGAAGCGCCUCUAGCGGCUGUCAAUAAGACAGCCACUAAAGGCUGGAUUAACCCUAAUGUAAACAUAGCAGUUUGUCUGAAACUGCUAUGUUUACAGCUGCAGGGUUAACCCUAGACGGGCCUGGCACCCAGACCACUUCAUUGAGCUGGGUGCCUAUAGUGGUCCUUUAAGUCCAUUAAACAACACUGGAUGUCUUCGUACUCUGUAAAAAAGCAAAACCUUUAUAUUAGGAGUAGGAUUUCCUGGUCAUUGCAGCGCUCACCCCACAACUCCCUUGGACAGUAAUAAUUAUUUUGUUUGUCCUGUCUACAUUCCCCUUGGACACUAGAUUUUAGGCUGCCAUAUUUUCCUUGUGAACAUUUUAGUUCCUUACCCAGGGGGCAUUCAGCCUCUCUCUUCUGUAAGUUGCAGUACAUGUCCCCCUUAGUUGCCAGGGGCUAAGUUGCACUAAUGCUGAGAGUGGCAGCAUGGAACUUGUAUGGCCUGGGUUUGUAGGUUCCCAUGUGGCCUUUGAGAACAGUUCCAGGAAUGCUUUAUUGCUCUCUGUUUGUGCUUUCAACAUUCUUGUUUGCUGCCAUGUAUUCUAGCAGGGAGUACUGGAUAAAAUGCGACUGAUUUAAUCAGUGGAAUGCAAUUUUUUAUUUUUUUUCCAUUCCUCUGUGGUGGCUGUAAGUCAGGGAAAUGUUUUUAUGUUGUACUUUGGUAUAAUCUAUAGGACACCAUUCUGUGCAUGCGCAGAAUUAGGGUUCCAAUUUUGUGCACUUUCCCAUGGAUGUUAGGGGCACUUCGACUUUAAUGAAGGUUUCUCUAAUGCUUCAUUUAUUAACGAUUGAGGUCUUUAUAGUCACAUAGCUUUUCAGCUCCUAUAGGUUACAUCAUUUAUAAACCCACACAUUCCGUAUAGCAGAUUUCUCCCUUAGUUCAACAGGCACACCAUUGAGAGAUUGACACACCCCUUCAGGCACAUCAUGUCAAAGGGGAUGUUUUGGCACUAGGACACCAGAUUCUCUGUUUUCUAUUUACAGGUUUCUAGAGGAGCCUCACCACAAAUCUCAAUACUAUAUGUAGCGGAGCUGCAAUAUUAAAUCCCAAGAUCUCCGCUGGUAUAGAAGGUAAUCCAAGGUAAAGCGCUGGAAAGGAAGGCAAUAUCCCAAAUCUCCCAGUAACCGGACGAAACACAGUUCAGGGAGUCAACUGACAAUUUUUAUUUACGGCUACAGGAGUCAACUGACAAUUUUAUUCACGGCUCCAGGAGUCAACUGACAAUUUUAUUCACUGCUGUUAGCCUAUGCAUGCUCUCUAUUCUAAAACACACACAUACAUUUUUACACCAGGUUAACACAGCUAUUUCAGACAACCUUUAAAUGUUCUGCAAUAAGUCUUAAAGUGGCUAGGUUUGCCACACUAUACCCUUUAUGGUUACUACCGCCUAGGUCAGGGGUCAGCAACCUAUGGCACAUGUGCCAUGCAUGGCACUCGAGGUGCCUUUGCACAUCACUCAAGGCUGCCAGAGACAAACAGGUUCUGGUAGAUCAGGAGUCCCAGUGGAACUUCAUAUAUUGCGAGUGCAAUAAAAAAAAUGUGAAUGCAGGUACAAUACUCAAUCUAUACAUUGCAGCACUUAGAGGAAGUGAUCUCAUAUAAUUUCCUCCAAGCUCUUGUGAAAGGAAAUAUGUUCUGGAGUAGAGUAGCCCACAUCAGUUAUCACAACUUCUCCAUCGCAGCUCCUUCUUUGAUCUGUACCUGGUCAGCCCAGUUCCCCAAUGGACACCAGGAAAGUAGUCCACACUGCUAUAUAUAUACAGAGCUGCAGAAGAUGCCUCUUCCUCAUACAAAUAAUACAAGCAGACUAUACACAAACACACACAGAGUCCCUGCCUACCCCUGGCCUAGGUCAUCCCUUCCACGUUAUGUUUAGCGCCAGAGUGAUUAUACCCUCCUGCACAGGUCACCGUUGUAUAGCUGGGAAUAAAUAUUUGGAUUUUAUUUCUAACCCCUGCCCAUUAUUUCUUAUCACAUGAUCUUUUGGGGGAGAGCACAGAAGGUGAAGGAGUACACCUAUACAUCCUACUUAUGUGUAUUUACCUGAGCCAGUGUUUGUAUACAGGCUGUCACGACAGUGACCCCUUCACGCAGAUAGUAACCCAGAAAGAGACGUAUACCGGACCUUAGGGUGGCCGGGCUUAACGUCAGAAAAUAGGCAAAGGAAUAGCCAGAGGUCAAGGGAGUACAGAAAACGGAAUACACGAGAAAUAACCAAGCCAAAAUUCGGGGAGGCAGAGAGGAGAGUAGUCAGUAAGGAAAGCCAAGGGUCAAUAUACCAGAAAACAGACAAAUUAAUCAAGAGCACUACAGGGAACAAACAAGAACCACACUAGGGCGCUGAGGGAAGGACAGGGGCACCCUUUUAUAGCGAGGUGUCAUUUGCUUUAAAGCCACACCCCCAAAACGUCCGGGAGCGUGGCCAUGUUUGAUUCUUUGCGGCAAAAUCCUGAUGACUUCGGCGCGCAUGCGCCACAUCAUAAGAGGAGGCGAGCGGCCAGCACCAGACAGGCUGCGACGCCUCCCGGAAGCAGCCAGGGAGAACGCCGCGCUGCGCGGGUCCGGAGGGAAAAGGUAAGGUAUCGUCACAGUACUCCCCCCUCGAGAACCGCCCCCAGGGCGGGGAGGACUCGGCCUGAGUGAACGACGCCUAGCAAACGAACGAACCAGGCGAGGAGCGUGCACAUCCGAGGCAUCCACCCCCAAAAGUUCCUCGGGGCCAUACCCUUUCCAGUCUAAAAGAUAUUGGAGACGACCUCUAGAAAUACGAGAGUCUAAAAUAGAUUUCACUUCGUAUUCGUUUUGGCCUUCUAUGAGUGUUGAAGGAGGUCUCGUGGGUAUUCGAGUAUAACGAUUACAAAUCAAAGGUUUUAGAAGAGAAACAUGAAAGGAAUUGGGUAUCUUCAUAGUAGCCGUUAAAUCCAGGCAAUAACAGACUGGAUUAAUGCGUUUGAGGAUCUUAAAAGGACCAAUAAAACGUGGAGCGAAUUUCAUAGAGGGGACUUUUAAUCUUAUAUUGCGUGUACUCAACCAUACUCUACCCCUUACCAUAAAAAUCGGAGUGGUUUUUCGUCGUUUGUCCGCUUUGCAUUUUUGAGUUACAGCCUUUUGAGUCAAAAUAUGUUUGACCCCUAACCAAGUUUCCUUCAUAUUCUUAAUAGUGUCGUCAACGCUUGGCACUCCCGUGGAUGAAAAGGAACUCGGAAGAGUAAUAGGGUCAAAGCCAUAAUUUAUAAAAAAAAGGGACAAUGUUGCGUAGAUUCGUGAAUCAUGUUGUUAUUGUGGGCAAAUGCAGCCCAAGGAAGUAAUUCUACCCAAUCAUCUUGAUGAUCGGAGGUGAAGCAGCAAAUGUAUUGUUCGAGUGAUUGAUUGAUUGAUUCAUCCUUUCUGUAACCCCGUUAGAUUGGGGAUAGUACGAAGAAGAUAGAUUAAGUUUGAUACCCAAUUGAUUACAAAAUGCUUUCCAGAACCUGGAAAUAAAUUGCGGACCUCUGUCUGAAACUAUAUCCACGGGUAUACCGUGCAAACGAACCACCUCCCUUAUAAACACCGUGGCCAGUUCGGAGGACAAAGGCAAUUUAAUUAAAGGGACAAGAUGGGUCAUCUUAGAAAAUCUGUCUAUUAUAGUCAGGAUUAUCCGGUGAUUUUUGGAAAGGGGUAGGUCCACUACGAAAUCCAUGGCGAUACUCGAGCAGGGCUUAUCGGGAAUAGGCAACGGCAUGAGGAGACCUAAAGGACGACCCUUAGGAGAUUUAUUAGAGGAACAGAUGUUAAAGGUUAAAACAAAUUCUUGAACAUCUUUCUUGUAUGAGGGCCACCAGAAUUGUUUUUCAAGUAAAGAUUCAGUCUUAUGGAUACCGGGAUGACCGGCAACCUUAGAGUCGUGUACCAAGGACAGGAUUUGUCUCCUAUAAUUUAAAGGUACGUAUAAUUUUCCCUGAGGGAUAGUCAAAGAGUUAUGAUCCUGGCAUUUGGAUAAUACCUCCAUUAAACUAGAAGAGACCUUAGCAUGAACUGUGGCUACUAUGUGAGAGGUAGAGAUUAUGGAGGAUAAAUGGGUUACAGGGGGAGAUAGAUGUUCAUGUUGUCGGCAUAGGGCAUCCGCUUUAGUAUUCUUAGAUCCGGGUCUAUACGUCACAAUGUAGUUAAAGCGUGUUAAAAACAAAGACCAACGAAUCUGCCUGUCAGACAUUCUUUCCGCCUCUCCGAAAUAGGAAAGGUUUUUAUGGUCAGUAAGAAUGGUGAUCGGUUCAGGUGACCCCUCUAAUAGAUGACGCCAUUCCUUGAGAGCUGAAAUAAUAGCUGAUAGUUCCCUAUCUCCUAUAUCAUAUCUUCUUUCCGUUUCAAUCAAUUUUUUUUGAGAAAAAAACCACAGGGAUGUAGGGGUUGAUCAUUCGAGGGUUGAUGCAGCCCCUAUCCCUGUCUCUGAGGCAUCUACCUCUAAUAGAAAGGGACACAAAGGAUUAGGAUGUCUUAAUACUGGUGCUGAAGAAAAAGCUAUCUUUAAUUUCUCAAAGCUUCCUUAGCUUUGGGACUCCACACCAUAUGAUUCCUAUUCUUUUUUGUCAUGGCAGUAAUAGGAGCGUUAAUAGAGGAAAACCCUUUGAUAAAUUUUCUAUAAUAAUUAGCAAAUCCCAGGAAACGUGGGAUGGCCUUAAGUCCAACGGGUAGGGGCCAGUUUAAGAUUGCUUCCAGUUUUUUGGGUUCCAUUUGAAAAUCCGAACCUGAAAUUAUAUAACCUAGGAAAUUAACCUUUUCCACGUCAAACAGACACUUUUCUAAUUUACAAUAGAGUCCGUUCUUCAAUAAUUUAGAUAGGACCAACCUGACGUGUCUAUGGUGUUCCUUAAUACUCUUAGAGUAGAUUAGUAUGUCAUCUAAAUAAACAACAACAAACAUUUGUAGAUAAUCUCUUAACCCCUUUAGACUGGAGGGCGUACAAUUACGCCCUAUUAUAGGUGGCUCUAAACGCCGCCGGCGUAAUUGUACGCCCUCCGGUUUUUGCCUACUUACCACGUCCGUCCUCGUCGAAGCCCCCCGGCCAUGUGAGAGUGGGGUCCUAGCGAGGACCCCACAAUCACAUGGCCGGGGAUAGCUGGCUUCUGUAUUGCGAGCAGGGGGCUGCCUGUAAUUACAGGUGGUCCCCCUGCUGGCUGGAAAUAAAAUGAAAUGUAUUAGUGUAAAAAAAAAAAUAUAUAUAUACUUAGAUCAUAUAUAUAUAUUAUAUAUAUUAUAUAUAUAUGAUCUAAGUAUAUAUACACACAUAUACAUACACACACGUACACCGUCUAGGUGUAUUUUACUAUUAAUAUACAUAUAAUUAUAUAUAUAUAUAUAUUAAUAUCAAAUUACACGUAGACUGAUACUGGUUAAAUAUAUAUAUAAUUAUUGUUAUAUAUAUAUUUAUAUAUAAUAUAAAAAAAUUAAAUAUGUAAAUACGUUAAAAAAUAAAAUUAAAAAAAUAAUUUAAAAAUAUAUAGAUGUGUGUUAUUUCAUUCUAACUGUAUUGUGAUAUUAAUAUAUAUAUAUAUAUAUAUUUAUAUCAAAAUACACGUAGAACGAAAUAAUAUAUAUAUCUACAUACAUAAAUAUAUACGUAUAUAUCACUAUAUAUAUACCAAUAUAUAAAUAAAAAUAUUUUAAAAAAAUUAUAUAGAUAUACACAUAUAGAUUCACAUAUGUAUAUAUAUACAUAUAUUAAUUCUACAUAUAUAUAUGUAAUAUUUUUACAUAAUUAGGUAUCUUAAUUAAUUACAAUUAGUGGGACCUGCAUGACAACCCAUGCCGAAAGUAAAGGGAAUUUAAUUGGCUAGCACUAUAUUUAACCCUAUAACUUUCCAAGACACCAUAAAACCUGUACAUGGGGGGUACUGUUCUACUCGGGAGACUUCGCUGAACACAAAUAUUAGUGUUUCAAAACAGUAAAAUGUAUUACAACGAUGAUAUCGCCAGUAAAAGUGAGCAUUUUUCACGCACAAACAGCAUUACACGGACAAUAUUAUUGCUGUGAUACUUUUACUGUUUUGAAACACAAAUAUUUGUGUUCAGCGAAGUCUCCCGAGUACAACAGUACCCCUCAUGUACAGGUUUUAUGGUGUUUUCAAAAGUUACAGCGUCAAAUAUAAGGCUUGCGUUUCAUUUUUUUCACAUUAAAAUUUGCCAGAUUGGUUACGGUGCCUUUGAGACACUAUGGUAGCCCGAGAAUGAAAAUUACCCCUAUGAUGGCAUACCAUUUGCAAUAGUAGACAACCCAAGGUAUUGCAAACGGGGUAUGUCCAGUCUUUUUUAGUAGCCACUUAGUCACAAACACUGGCCAAAAUUGGCGUUUUUUGCAUUUUUCACACAAACAAAUACUAACGCUAACUUUGGCCAGUGUUUGUGACCAAAUGGCUACUAAAAAAGACUGGACAUACCCCAUUUGCAAUACCUUGGGUUGUCUACUAUUGCAAAUGGUAUGCCAUUAUGGGUGUAAAUUUCAUUCCUGGCUACUAUAACGUCCCAAAGGCAACGUAACCUACCUGGCGAAUUUCAAUUUCAAAUGUAACGUGCUAUAUUUAACCCUGUAACUUCUCAAAACGCCAUAAAACCUGUACAUAGGGGGUACUGUUUUACACGUGAGACUUUGCUGAAUCAAAAUAUGUGUAUUUUAUUGCAGUAAAAGCAAACAGUAUUAUGACAUUGACAGUUAAAAUGUCAUGUAGAACAAAAAAAAUAAAAAAAAUCUUAUUUUCUCCCAUUUUUUUUCAUAUUAAAUUAUGUGUCACAUCUAAAUAUUUGAUAUUAAAUGAAAGCCCUGUUUCCCCUGAAUAAAAUGAUACGUAAUAAGGGUGGGUGCAUUUACUAUGAAAUAGGUGAAUUACGGUUGGACAGACAUGUAGCGCAAAUGCCAGGUUUUGUUUACAUUUUGUUUCGUUCACAACGUGUACAUUUGGCUCCGUCCUUAAGGGGUUAAUACAUCGUUUAUAAAAUCUUGAAAGACUGCAGGGGCGUUGCAUAGGCCAAAGGCAUAACCCUGUAUUGAUAAUGGCCAUAGCAAGUAUUGAAAUCAGUCUUCCACUCAUGUCCAUUCUUGAUUCUAACUAAAUUGUAUGCUCUCCGUAAAUCCAACUUAGUGAAUAUGGUUGCUCCCUUCAAUCUGUCGAAAAGCUCGGUUAUUAGAGGUAUAGGAUAAGCGUUUUGUAUGGUUAUUUUGUUUAAACCCCGAUAGUCAAUACAAGGUAUCAAGUCUCCCUCCUUUUUAGAAACAAAGGAAAAAAUGGCCCCAGCCGGGGAGGAAGACUUAGUAAUAAAACCCUUUUUUAAGUUCUCUGUGAUGUACUCUUCAAGUACUUUAUUUUCAGUCACAGAGAUGCCCCCCUAGGGGGCAUAGUACCGGGUAAUAGGUCAAUAGUGCAGUCGUAUGAACAAUGGGGUGGUAACUUUUCUGCCUCCCUUGGUUCAAAGACCGCCUUGAGAUCCCAAUAUUGUUUGGGUAUUCGGGUGGUUAAGGGUUGCAAAGUAGGAACAUUAAGUAGACCUACUGGUUUGACUUGAAUAAUACACUCUUUAAAACAAAAUUCGCCCCAUUUUACGAUCUCUUUUCUCUCCCAGUCUAUUAAAGGAUUGUGCUUGGUGAGCCAAGGAAACCCAAGUAUAACAGGAAAGGUGGGAGAAGUUAUUUGCUGUAGAGUUAUAAUUUCUUGAUGCAAUGAACCUACAGUCAAGACUAAGGGAUUAGUUUCCUGAGUAAUAAAAGGAAUUGACAGUUGUCUACCAUCUAUGGCCUUAACGGCCAAGGGUGUUGAUCUUUCUUGGAAUGGGAGAUCGUGAUGCUGACCGAAUUUGCGAUCAACAAAAUUCUCGGCUGCCCCAGAAUCUAUUAACGCAAUGGUUGUUACUUUCCUUCCCAUUCGAUAGUUAUAGGUAGAAGAAGCCUGAGAUCUUUCUUGUCAUUGAAGGAGGACAUACAGAUUACACCCAAGGCCUGUCCUCCUAGAGGGCUUAGAUGCUGGAGUUUUCCGGCCUACUUGGACAGUGUAAGCAGGAAUGCCGUCUUUUCCCACAAUACAUACAAAGUCCCUCCCUUCGUCUAUAUAAUCUCUCUGGUUCAGGUAACUGCGUGGUUCCCAAUUGCAUGGGUUCUGCGGGAGUGACAGCGGUUGCCUCAGACGAAGCGUCAUAAGAGGAGGCGUGCCGCGAGCAGCCAGCGCCAGACAGGCUGCGCCGCCUCCCUGAAGCAGCCAGGGAGAAUGCCGUGCUGCGCGGGUCCGCAGGGAAAAGGUAAGGUAUCCUCACACAGGCUCAUAAAAAUGUGAGUAGGAUGCAUCUUUCCUUUUAACAUUUUAGACACAGUGUAGACAUUAUACAGGCUAUAAUGCCCUAUGUGAGCCUUUUUAUUUUACAGAAAAUUCCCUCUGGGAAAAGACUAUUUUAAGUGUAUGUACUAUAUCUCACUACUGCACUUUUGAGAUCACUGUGCACUUUAUUCUUGUUAUUAGUUCACAGAGCGCUAACCUCCAUUUUUUGCUUUGUUCUAUAUGUUUCUUGUGGAAUUAAGUGGUUGAUUUCACGGGGGGGUUUUAGCAGCACUAUUUCAAUACUACAAGCGCCAAUUUACCACUUACUUCCUAUAUACCGUAUUAUAGCUAUCUCAUCCAAACACUAGCCGAGACUUAGUGAAGGGUAAAUUAGAACUGGUUUAUUAAGGCAAGGAACACUGACUUUAUACACAGACCCACAGCAUGGGUUCUCUAUUAAGUAACAAAAGCCUGCCCAGGCGUCUCUGUUUCUGGUAGAUAAUUGUGUCAGCUCUAGGUUAAAUUCAUUAACUCCUGGACACAGAAAGCCGAACAUACAAAACCUCCAAAAAUACACAUAAUAGACACCUCCACAUGCCAUACAUCCCCAGAAAGGUCUCUCUGGAGAACCAAAUCUGUUCAAAAAUUUCCCGGAUUGAAAAUGGCUAGCCUGAAUUAGGUUGAAGUCCAAAGUUAAACAUGACGCGGCUAGCCUCUGAUCCGGUGCAGAGUUAUAGAGUGCUGGGUAGAGUUUCCCGGUCACCUUAAAACAUAGUGCUUUCUGCGAAUAGAAGGAGCUCCCCCAAGUCCUAGGUGUCAUUCGAUGCCUCUCCACCUCCUUUGUUAACCCUCCAAAAAGUGCUCUAAAUUAUGGUCCAGGGACAGAGAACGCUCUGUUAAAUUAGAUAUUAAUUUUAGUCGCUGCAAUCCGAUUUUUGUUCCAGGGGAGUUCAAGGUAGUUCUCUGCCAAGCGCACCGUACAUCAGUGGUGGACAACUGGUUAUUCUGAGUCGGCAAGAGAGUAACGCUGGGCUUGGGGCCACAGGCUGGAGGGUUAGUUAAUAGUGAUGUAAGUUUUUUGAAAGGAGGUGGAAUGUUGGGGAGUCCUGUAACCUAGCGAGGUGACCAAGUGGCUCGUCACACCCUAGAAAUAAAUUCAAGGGAUGGUACUGCGGGUUGCAGCACAACCCUUUUGAUAAUGUAUAUCUGUUGUGCUGCGGUGCUCUGUUUUUACAUAGCUGAGCAAUGGAACCGCACCCCCUUUGAACUGUAGUUUGGUUUGGAGUACUGCCAUUUAUUCAUAUGGGUGGACUCAUGCCUGGCGAUGACACCCCACUACGUUGUUCUGUUCGGAUGUGAUAGGUUGGUGACCCAAGUAGGAGGGAAUUGAAUCCCCUUUUGAAUCUGCACUUUUACCUCAGUCUCUGUUUAUCCCCUGACAAAGAUGCAUUGAUGCAAAGGUGCAUUGACGCACCAAAACAUGCGUUGGGUUGUUUAUUUUAUUUUACCUCACUUUUGCACAAGUGACACUUCACUAUGGAUAUUUAGUUUGGCAGUAGUGUAAUCUGAUGUAGCAAUAGUUUAGGACUAAAUGUUAGUAGGUUGCUGUCAAUACACCAACCAAGAUACUUUGGCUUCUUGUAUCUUUUGAACCAGUGGAUUUUUGCAGUCUAUAUAUCCUUUCCUACAUAUAGAUUAGUAUUAACUUGCUCUAUAUUUUGCAACAACCGAGGUAUUCUGUUUUAUUAUUUUCAUUGAGGGAACGUUCCAUUUCUUUAGGAGUAUAUAUAUUUAUUGACAUUGGUUUAAGAUGUCUUUCCUGUACCACACAGCUCCUUACCCUUUGAGGACUGUGGGAGACAUUUUGUUCAUCUUCAUCCUAUCUCUCUAUGCUAGUCUGUUUAUAACCCCAGAUGUGUGGAGAUUUAUUUAAUCAUCUCUCUGACCAUUUAGAUGACUCAGAUUUACUUGACUUGUCUGUAGUUAUAUUAGACAUCCCUAUAUUGAUAUCAUUUGUCUUGCAGAUGAUCUUGAUGGUGUUUUCCAAGGAUUGAGGGGAAUUACAAAUCUCCACUUCUACUUUCUAUUUACACUUAGUGUAUCAAUUGUUCUAUAUAUAUAAUUCCCUCUAGUGUUACCUAUUGCAACAUUUGGUUUUGACACAGUGUAUAUUAGGCACAGCACAACAAAGCCUGCUUUGUACACAGGAACAGACUGUUUCUUUUGCUACAAUAUACACACUAUUCUCUAGUCCUUUUAAGGAGUCCUAUUCAUACUGUGAUAUUUAUUUACCAGUUAAGAAGAGUUUUAUGGGUCCCUUUUCCUCUUCUUUUAUAAUUGUUACGGGCACAUCAUUAGCAUCUGUUUCAGCUCCUUUCAGCAGCAUUCCUCUGGCUGACUAAACGUUAUAUAUAUAUAUAUACACAUACAUACACACACACACACUCUCUCUCUCUCUCUCUUUCUGUCAGUGCAGCAGGGAUAUUUGUACUGCUUGGCACAUUCUUGUUCUUUUUUGGGGGAGUUAUUUGUAUUUUGGCUGUAAGUCUGACCUUCUGGUUGAUCAGAUCUAAUUAGGUGAAUUCAGUUUUUUUAGCCUUUGUUGAGUUGCUGUUGGUUUUGUGUGUACGGUGUACCAAUUUUCAGUGAUUGGUAUAUUUUAAUGCAGUUUUCAUAUUUUUUUUUUUUUUCUGGGAGUUUUUUUUUUUUAACAGAGUUUCUGUUAUCCAAAAAUAUAUUGGUUUAGAUAGGUUUUCUACAGGAUAUUUCUGUUUUUUUACUGUAUAUUAAGCUCUUGGUUAGAGGAUUAUUGGUGUAGCGGACCUCUGCUAAACUCUCCUCUCAGCCAGAAAUGGAAGCUUCAGUAAAUAUAACUCUUCUCCCAGUAACUAGAUGACACAUAGUCCUAUGUGUAUAUCUGAUUUUAUUGUUCUGAAUGCAUCCUUAUAUGCAUUGACCCCCAGCAUGGGGUCUCCAUUCAUUACAUACAGAUCCUGCCCAGGUGCCUUUGUGUCUGGGAGAUAAUUGAUUCAAGGCAAACUAAAUUAAUUAUCUCCUGAAAUCACAUAAAAACCGUUAGGAACCCCCAUAAAUCUUAUAUUCCCUGAUAGCUCUGAAGGGAGAACAAAAUGUGGCCAAAAAGCGCCCUGAUCCAUGUAGGUUUGUGUAAAUGCUAACCCUUUAAAGUUAUGGAUAUUUGCCGGUUCUUUAACAGGGUAUCUCUGGUCAGUCGGGUAAGGGUGCCCCCUCCUUGGUAACGAUUGUCCCUCCUGAGGUAUUGUAACUUCCCUCCAAAGAGUGCUCUCAUUAGGCAUUGAGAAAGGGGUGAACACCAGGGUGCAAGUUGACCGGGACAAGGUGAUACUUGUGGCUGAGCUGGAGUUACAGGGCAACAACAGAUAAGUCCCGCUGAUGCGUUUGGUAUACUACAGCUUGGGAGAUGAGCUGGGAACUGGGGCAGAGAGAGGCUCAUGCUGAAUUCCUGUGAAGGGGAGGAGGGACAGAGGACCAGGGUAGUGUUAUAGUUUUUAGUGUAGUUUUGGUGGUAUUCGCCACAAUUGGCUGUUUUGUUUUUAGCUUAUUGGUCCCCUUAUGACUUCUUCAGUUUGGUCAAAAUAUAGGUCGCACUCAAGAGGUACAAGGGAAGCCAUGGAUGUUUUAAGUUGGUUCUUUUAAACAUUUAAAAAGGAUGCUUUGGAUUUAAUUCUUUUAAUUAUUAUUUUUUUUUUUAUGUUUAUGUUUCAGCUCCCUAAGAUCACCUUAGAGGCCUCAGUUGUAACCAUGGAGAGAAAAGACCCAGAAGCAAUACAGACCACAUAGUUGGGAAAGGUCGGUGAAAUCCAAUAAAAUGAACUUUAAAAUAGGAUUUUACAGUAAACUUUCUGUUAAAAGAAGUUAUUUUGUCAUCUGAGGAGGAAGAUCAUUCUAUAUUAGUCUUUGAUGAAAGAAAAAGAAAAGCUUUGAUCAAGGCUUUGAGGAAAACCAUCAACAUAAAAAAAAGGCUGCAGAAGAACCAGUAAGCAUUUUUUUGCUAGCUUAAGGAAAAAGUAUUCUCUUCUCCAUGAGAGUCUUUUCUUCUCCGUGAGACUAUCAGAGACUUGAUUCAAGAAGAAUGGAAGAAGGUGGGGAAUAAGGGUGUCAAUCAAGGGCAGAAUGACUAGAUUUUACACUUUUAAGAAGGCAGACUCAGAAGUUUGGUGCUCCACUCAUAAAGUAAAGUCAGUUGCCAUGCUAAUUAAUCUUUUGGUAGUUGAUGCCAGAUCUC
rnacentral:lncRNA from 1 species